AAACUAGGAUUAGAUACCCUAUUAUUAAAAUUUAAAUUGAAAAUACUAAAAUAGUAGAUAAUUAUUUAUUGAAACUUAAAUAAUUUGGCGGUAUUUUAGUUCAUUUAGAGGAAUCUGUUUAAUAAUUGAUAAUCCACGAAUAAAUUUACUUAAUUUUUUAUUUUGUAUAUCGUUGUUAAAAAAAUAUUUUUUAAUAAUAAUAAUAUUUAAAAAUUUUGAUUAAAAAUUAAAUCAGAUCAAGAUGCAGAUUAUAAUUAAGAAUAUAAUGGAUUACAAUAAAUUUAUUUAGAUGAAUAUUAAUUUGUAAAA
rnacentral:rRNA from 1 species